CCUACGGGCGUCAGCAGUGGGGAAUAUUGGGCAAUGGGCGCAAGCCUGACCCAGCAACGCCGCGUGAAGGAAGAAGGCUUUCGGGUUGUAAACUUCUUUUCUCAGGGACGAAGCAAGUGACGGUACCUGAGGAAUAAGCCACGGCUAACUACGUGCCAGCAGCCGCGGUAAUACGUAGGUGGCAAGCGUUAUCCGGAUUUACUGGGUGUAAAGGGCGUGUAGGCGGGAAAGCAAGUCAGAUGUGAAAACUAUGGGCUCAACCUAUGGCCUGCAUUUGAAACUGUACUUCUUGAGUACUGGAGAGGCAGACGGAAUUCCGAGUGUAGCGGUGAAAUGCGUAGAUAUUAGGAGGAACACCAGUGGCGAAGGCGGACUGCUGGACAGUAACUGACGCUGAGGCGCGAAAGCGUGGGGAGCAAACAGGAUUAGAUACCCGUGUAGUC
rnacentral:rRNA from 1 species